rnacentral:misc_RNA from 1 species
UUUUAUUACGCAUAACAUACUUUGGCUGCUUAUCAAAUUGUCUGCUAAAAAAAAUUACAAUGGAAUUUUUGUUUGCAUCGGAACUGUAUAACGAAUCAGAGUCGGACCAACCGGUAGAAUCCGAAGAAAACAGCUAUGACGAAGAUAUGAUAUACAUUGAUAAUACCAUAAAAAAUAUAAGUAGAAAUUUGCGCAAAGGAGAUUGGACAUAUUUAGGAAGACAUCCAGAGAUUUCAGAUACGUGCUAUAAUUCGCGUAAUUAUAAUGCAAGCCGUUAAACAGAAGCCCAAAAACAUUUUUAUAUUUGCCGCUGAUCUUUUUAGUAUAAAGAAACAAAAGCACUUGACAAAAUUGAUCAACAAACAACUGA